rnacentral:rRNA from 1 species
UUCCGGUUGAUCCUGCCGGACCUGACUGCUAUCGGAUUGAUACUAAGCCAUGCGAGUCAUUGUAGCAAUACAAGGCAUACGGCUCAGUAACGCGUAGUCAACCUACCUUAUGGACGGGGAUAACCUCGGGAAACUGAGAAUAAUACCCGAUAGAACAUAAUUCCUGGAAUGGUUUGUGUUUCAAAUAAUUUAUUGCCGUAGGAUGGGACUGCGGCCUAUCAGUUUGUUGGUGAGGUAAUGGCCCACCAAGACUAUUACAGGUACGGGCUCUGAGAGGAGUAGCCCGGAGAUGGGUACUGAGACACGGACCCAGGCCCUAUGGGGCGCAGCAGGCGAGAAAACUUUGCAAUGUGCGAAAGCACGACAAGGUUAAUCCGAGUGGUUUCUGCUAAAGGAACCUUUUGACAGUCAUAGAACCACUGUUGAAUAAGGGGUGGGCAAGUUCUGGUGUCAGCCGCCGCGGUAAAACCAGCACCUCAAGUGGUCAGGAUGAUUAUUGGGCCUAAAGCAUCCGUAGCCUGCUUUGUAAGUUUUCGGUUAAAUCCACACGCUCAACGUAUGGGCUGCCGGGAAUACUGCAAAGCUAGGGAGUGGGAGAGGUAGACGGUACUCGGUAGGAAGGGGUAAAAUCCUUUGAUCUAUUGAUGACCACCUGUGGCGAAGGCGGUCUACCAGAACACGUCCGACGGUGAGGGAUGAAAGCUGGGGGAGCAAACCGGAUUAGAUACCCGGGUAGUCCCAGCUGUAAACUAUGCAAACUCGGUGAUGCAUUGGCUUGAUGCCAAUGCAGUGCCGCAGGGAAGCCGUUAAGUUUGCCGCCUGGGAAGUACGUACGCAAGUAUGAAACUUAAAGGAAUUGGCGGGGGAGCACCACAAGGGGUGAAGCCUGCGGUUCAAUUGGAUUCAACGCCGGG